rnacentral:rRNA from 1 species
UUGACGGGGCCGCACAAGCGGUGAGCAUGUGGUUAAUUCGAUGCAACGCGAAAACCUUACCACCUUGACAUGUACGGAAGCCUUUAGAGAUAGAGGCGUGCUCGAAAGAGAGCCGUAACACAGGUGCUGCAUGGCUGUCGUCAGCUCGUGUCGUGAGAUGUUGGGUUAAGUCCCGCAACGAGCGCAACCCUUGUCAUUAGUUGCUACAUUCAGUUGGGCACUCUAAUGAGACUGCCGGUGACAAGCCGGAGGAAGGUGGGGAUGACGUCAAGUCCUCAUGGCCCUUAUAGGUGGGGCUACACACGUCAUACAAUGGCUGGUACAAAGGGUUGCCAACCCGCGAGGGGGAGCUAAUCCCAUAAAGCCAGUCGUAGUCCGGAUCGUAGUCUGCAACUCGACUACGUGAAGUCGGAAUCGCUAGUAAUCGUGGAUCAGAAUGUCACGGUGAAUACGCUCCCGGGUCUU